rnacentral:rRNA from 1 species
AGUGAACGCUGGCGGCAGGCCUAAUACAUGCAAGUCGAACGGCAGCACAGCAGAGCUUGCUCUGUGGGUGGCGAGUGGCGGACGGGUGAGGAAUACAUGGGAAUCUGCCCAGUCGUGGGGGAUAACGUAUGGAAACGUACGCUAAUACCGCAUGCGCCCUACGGGGGAAAGUCGGGGACCGCAAGGCCUGGCGCGAUUGGAUGAGCCCAUGUUCGAUUAGCUAGUUGGCGGGGUAAAGGCCCACCAAGGCGACGAUCGAUAGCUGGUCUGAGAGGAUGAUCAGCCACACUGGAACUGAGACACGGUCCAGACUCCUACGGGAGGCAGCAGUAGGGAAUAUUGGACAAUGGGGGCAACCCUGAUCCAGCCAUGCCGCGUGAGUGAAGAAGGCCCUCGGGUUGUAAAGCUCUUUUGUCCGGAAAGAAAAGCAAUCGGUUAAUACCCGGUUGUUCUGACGGUACCGGAAGAUAAGCACCGGCUAACUUCGUGCCAGC